CCUACGGGUGGCUGCAGUGAGGAAUAUUGGUCAAUGGGCGGAAGCCUGAACCAGCCAAGUAGCGUGCAGGAUGACGGCCCUACGGGUUGUCAACUGCUUUUAUACGGGAAUAACGCGCCUUACGUGUAGGGCUUUGCAUGUACCGUAUGAAUAAGGACCGGCUAAUUCCGUGCCAGCAGCCGCGGUAAUACGGAAGGUACGGGCGUUAUCCGGAUUUAUUUGGUUUAAAGGGAGCGUAGGCCGCAUGUCAAGCGUGCUGUGAAAUGUCCGGGCUCAACCCGGGCCUUGCAUCGCGAACUGGCGGGCUUGAGUGCGCGGAAGGCAGGCGGAAUUCGGUGUGUAGCGGUGAAAUGCUUAGAUAUGACGAAGAACCCCGAUUGCGAAGGCAGCUUGCUGCAGCGGAACUGACGCUGAGGCUCGAAAGCGCGGGUAUCGAACAGGAUUAGAUACCCCUGUAGUC
rnacentral:rRNA from 1 species